UCUUCCCUCUGGCGGCGUGCCUAAUACAUGCAAGUCGAGCGAACGGACGAGAAGCUUGCUUCUCUGAUGUUAGCGGCGGACGGGUGAGUAACACGUGGAUAACCUACCUAUCAGACUGGGAUAACUUCGGGAAACCGGAGCUAAUACCGGAUAAUAUUUUGAACCGCAUGGUUCAAAAGUGAAAGACGGUCUUGCUGUCACUUAUAGAUGGAUCCGCGCUGCAUUAGCUAGUUGGUAAGGUAACGGCUUACCAAGGCAACGAUGCAUAGCCGACCUGAGGGGGUGAUCGGCCACACUGGAACUGAGACACGGUCCAGACUCCUACGGGAGGCAGCAGUAGGGAAUCUUCCGCAAUGGGCGAAAGCCUGACGGAGCAACGCCGCGUGAGUGAUGAAGGUCUUCGGAUCGUAAAACUCUGUUAUUAGGGAAGAACAUAUGUGUAAGUAACUGUGCACAUCUUGACGGUACCUAAUCAGAAAGCCACGGCUAACUACGUG
rnacentral:rRNA from 1 species